rnacentral:rRNA from 1 species
AACGAACGCUGGCGGCGUGCUUAACACAUGCAAGUCGAACGCGAAAGGGACUUCGGUCCUGAGUAAAGUGGCGCACGGGUGAGUAACGCGUGGAUAAUCUACCCAAUGAUCUGGGAUAACAUCUCGAAAGGGGUGCUAAUACCGGAUAAGACCACGGGAUCUCUGGAUUCUGCGGUAAAAGGUGGGGACCUUCGGGCCUACCGUCAUCGGAUGAGUCCGCGUACCAUUAGCUAGUUGGUGGGGUAAUGGCCUACCAAGGCUACGAUGGUUAGCUGGUCUGAGAGGAUGAUCAGCCACACUGGAACUGAGACACGGUCCAGACUCCUACGGGAGGCAG